rnacentral:rRNA from 1 species
UGGGGAAUAUUGGACAAUGGGCGCAAGCCUGAUCCAGCAAUGCCGCGUGAGUGAUGAAGGCCUUAGGGUUGUAAAGCUCUUUCGCACGCGACGAUGAUGACGGUAGCGUGAGAAGAAGCCCCGGCUAACUUCGUGCCAGCAGCCGCGGUAAUACGAAGGGGGCUAGCGUUGUUCGGAAUUACUGGGCGUAAAGGGCGCGUAGGCGGCCUGUUUAGUCAGAAGUGAAAGCCCCGGGCUCAACCUGGGAAUAGCUUUUGAUACUGGCAGGCUUGAGUUCCGGAGAGGAUGGUGGAAUUCCCAGUGUAGAGGUGAAAUUCGUAGAUAUUGGGAAGAACACCGGUGGCGAAGGCGGCCAUCUGGACGGACACUGACGCUGAGGCGCGAAAGCGUGGGGGAGCAAACAGGAUUAGAUACCCUGGUAGUCCACGCCGUAAACGAUGAAUGCUAGACGUCGGGGUGCAUGCACUUCGGUGUCGCCGCUAACGCAUUAAGCAUUCCGCCUGGGGAGUACGGCCGCAAGGUUAAAACUUAAAGGAAUUGACGGGGUCAUAGCUGUUUCCU